CAAGAUAGACUUAUCUGACAAAGAAGGAAAGCCAGGAGGAAUGACUGUUGCGCCAGGCAAGAGAAAAAAACCAAGGAGUCGCGGCUGCUUCACACAAAUCUUUGUGGCUGCCUAGCAACACAAGGACAUAGCCAUCCCAUUGGCUCCAGCAUCCCACAAAGUAAAUCAAAGAGUUACCCUCCAUCUUUAUUUCCCCAGAAUGCUUCUGGGUGCUCUGUUGACUCAGACUCAGAGGCAUUCUUAGAAAAUGGCCAUGGAGCACCUGAUAAACUUGGAGAGCAAGCCGCCUGCAAGACUCCAUUCACUCUGAGAUCUCAUGUGUUCAUUCAGUGGCUGUAAGUGGCAAACUUACUUUCCUAUCAGAGGAAUUGUGUCCGGAAAGUACAUUUUGAAGAAAUCCAGCACUUGGUCUCCUGUUGUGAGCUUUUCAAAAUCGUCAAAAGGCAUGAAGAGAGUGCAUGUGAAUGACUUAUCCUAUGAAUUAAAAAGGGUGUGAGAACUUGAAAGAAGAGAUAUCACUGACAUACCCUGGAAAGUGGUGGGAUCCCUCAGCCUGCCCUGAAAUUAACCUCUGAUCUGAAACCACAACAGGAGUAUUCCUCUUCAAGGAUGGAGAAACAUUGCAACAUUACGUUGCAGGUCCUACUGGUUGCAAUUGCUUUGAGAUGGAUGUGGGUUUUGUGUCCAUUAGGUUCAGCCUGUUGGCCUCUCAAGAGACAAUGGAGUGGGCCUCUGGAAGUGAAGACAAACUGUUGUUUUAGCAGCACUGAAGUGCUCUCCCUGGGGCGCAACACUGGGCAGUGUGUGUCAAGGUCCUAGAGAGCCCAGACGACAAGGUCCCCCUCUCGGCCUCACUGAUGGGGCCCAAAAGAAAGCAGAGCAAUACAUUAGGCACCCGCUGGGCUGCAGGAGUUGCCAGAAGGAAGCAUACAAGGCACCAUCCAACAGUAAGCGACUCCACUCUGGAAUUGUGUCGGCUUUACUCCUUAGCCUUUUCUUCUUCCACAAGGCAGCAUGUAAGAUAUUUGUUAGUUCUGAGAGUAGAUAGAAAAUAUUGUCUCUGUCUCAGUAGGUCACUGUAAUGUUUGUGCUUUGUUGUUAUUCUGGUUUCCAGAAAUCCUCAUCUAAAGCUAAACGAUCCUGAAAUUACAUCGACAUUUCAAAUGAUGUGUUACUACUAAAAAGACAGUUUUAAACAUGUACUGUUUCUCCUACCAGGUUUGGCAGCGCAAUCAUCAUGAAUGUAUUCCUGGGCCAGAUGUGGAGAUAAUUUGGUUCCAUAGCAAACUGAAAAGAGACCAAGAGAGGGGCAGAAAUAUGUUUGUCAAUGUUUAUGCAGCUGUCAACUUGGAAAGCAAGGUCUAUAGUGAGACUCUGUUAUCACUACAGUUGUACCUUGGUUCUCGAACGUAAUCUGUUCCAGAAGUCCAUUUGACUUCUGAAAACGUUCGAAAAUCAAGGUGCGGCUUCAGAUUGGCUGCAGGAGCUUCCUGAACUCAAUUGGAAGCUGUGGAACCCGCAUCAGAUGUCCGGAUUCCAAAAAACAUCCACAAACCAGAACACUCACUUUUGGGUUUGCAGCGUUCAGGAGCCAAAACAUGUGAGUACCAAGGCGUUUGAGAACCAAGGUACGACUGUACUUACAUCUCCAUCCCUUGGGGGUAUUUUCAGUUCCAUGUAUCCAUGAGGAAUAUAUACUUGGCUGUA